rnacentral:rRNA from 1 species
UGGCGGACGGGUGAGUAACACGUAGGUAACCUGCCCUUUGGAUCGGGAUAACUCCGGGAAACCGGGGCUAAUACCGGAUAUGAUCCCGAAGCAGCAUUGCUUCGGGAUGAAAGGCUCCAAAAGAGCGCCAGAGGAUGGGCCUGCGUCCCAUUAGGUCGUUGGCGGGGUAAUGGCCCACCAAGCCUGCGAUGGGUAGCUGGUCUGAGAGGAUGGCCAGCCACACUGGAACUGAGACACGGUCCAGACUCCUACGGGAGGCAGCAGUGAGGAAUAUUGCUCAAUGGCCGAAAGGCUGAAGCAGCGACGCCGCGUGGAGGAUGAAGUCCGUAAGGAUGUAAACUCCUGUUGAAGGGGAAGAAUGUCCCGACUUGUCGGGAUUGCCGGUACCCUUCGAGGAAGCACCGGCCAACUACGUGCCAGCAGCCGCGGUAAUACGUAGGGUGCGAGCGUUGUCCGGAAUUACUGGGUGUAAAGGGUCCGCAGGCGGACAAGUAAGUCGGGGGUGAAAUCUCACGGCUUAACCGUGAAACUGCCUUCGAUACUGCUUGUCUUGAGUUCGGGAGAGGGUAGUGGAAUUCCUGGUGUAGCGGUGAAAUGCGUAGAUAUCAGGAAGAACACCAGUUGCGAAGGCGGCUACCUGGCCCGAAACUAACGCUCAGGGACGAAAGCGUGGGGAGCAAACAGGAUUAGAUACCCUGGUAGUCCACGCCCUAAACGAUGGGUACUAGGUGCUGGCUCGCAAGGGUCAGUGCCGAAGCUAACGCAUUAAGUACCCCACCUGGGGAGUACGAUCGCAAGGUUGAAACUCAAGGAAUUGACGGGGGCCCGCACAAGCGGCGGAGCAUGCGGAUUAAUUCG